rnacentral:rRNA from 1 species
CCUACGGGAGGCAGCAGUGGGGAAUAUUGGGCAAUGGAGGAAACUCUGACCCAGCGACGCCGCGUGCGGGAUGAAGGCCUUCGGGUUGUAAACCGCUUUCAGUAGGGAAGAAGCGAAAGUGACGGUACCUACAGAAGAAGCACCGGCUAACUAUGUGCCAGCAGCCGCGGUAAUACAUAGGGUGCAAGCGUUGUCCGGAAUUAUUGGGCGUAAAGAGCUCGUAGGUGGUUCGUCACGUCGGAUGUGAAAAUCUGGGGCUCAACCCCAGACCUGCAUUCGAUACGGGCGAUCUAGAGUGUGGUAGGGGAGACUGGAAUUCCUGGUGUAGCGGUGGAAUGCGCAGAUAUCAGGAGGAACACCAAUGGCGAAGGCAGGUCUCUGGGCCAUUACUGACACUGAGGAGCGAAAGCGUGGGGAGCGAACAGGAUUAGAUACCCUGGUAGUCCACGCCGUAAACGGUGAGCACUAGUUGUGGGAACCUUCCACGGUUUCUGCGACGCAGCUAACGCAUUAAGUGCCCCGCCUGGGGAGUACGAUCGCAAGAUUAAAACUCAAAGGAAUUGACGGCUUGAGACGNGCGAGCGACGACGAGGAGAGG